ensembl:lncRNA
CGGGGCUCAAUCAUGGACAUAAAAAGAAGGCUCAAUCCGUUUUGGUUUUGAUGUCAUUGAACGCAGCCCGUUCUUUCGCACAAACAAAGCCAUUGGAAACACGUCUAAAAGCAAUGAUGAAUGCAUAUGUAACCCAGUUCCUGUUAGGGACUCUUAUUCUGAAGGAGGAGAACGGAAGUGUGCGUUUGGGUCGCUGUUUUGACUCUGUUGGGAGCGCUGGAAAUAAAGUGGAUCGCCCUGUUCAGUGAAUGGAGUUAACCGAUUCUUCUUUUAUAUGCAACCCAAGUAAAGGCAAUAAUAAUUUGUGCAUUCGAUUAUUAUUCAUAGAUUAGAAAACAAAAGGAGAUAAUACUUGGGAAUAACAUGGGAAUGAAUGAAAUGCGCAUUUAAAAGACGGCGUUUAAAGGAAGUGCGUCAUUAUUGUGCAUCUAGGACCCCGAGUCGAUCUGGCAGCCGAGUCAAUCCGACACCCACAACGGCACUCUGCAAUGGAAGGGAUAAAGACCCUAGAUAUGUCUUCUCUCGUGUCCAGUAUCCUUGAAUGCACGAGAAUAAGACAACAGAAAAUAUUGUACUAUGGAUAGUAGAUGCGUCAAGAGCCUUCGACCGCAUUAAUCAUGGCAAACGGUUUACCAAACUGCAAGAGCGAGGGGUGCCUCCAUAUUUAAUAAGAAUUUUGCACGAUUAGUACUUGCACCAAACCAUGGGAGAUCGAUGGGGUAAAACAAUAUCAACCCCAUUCCCUGUAACUAAUGGGGUCAGGAAAGGUGGAAUAUUGUCACCUAUCCUUUUUAACUUGUAUAUGGAUGGUCUGCCUAGAACUAGAGGAAUGUAAGACUGUAUGUAUGGUGGGGAAUCGGCUCAUUUAUCAUUUGAUGUAUAUGACUAAAUCAUUAUGUCACCUUAUAGUGCUGGUUUAUAACAACUGCUCAGAGUUUGCACAAAGUAUGGUAUGCAGAAUGACAUCAACUUUAAUCCCAAAAAGAGCGUCAUCAUGAUGGAAAGAACUAAGGAGGACCAGAAGCUAAAGUUUCCCUCCUUUUACCUGUCUGACAAAGUACUAGAUACUGUAACUAAAGUAAAAUACGAAUGGCAUAUUAUCAGGAAUGACUGAUAAGUUGUAUGCCCAGGCAAAUAUGUUUGCACGUAAAUUUCAUAUGUGCACUGAUGAUGUCGAAACAGCUCUUUUUCAAGCUUAAGUGCGCUCCACUUUACACAGCACAUCUAGGGUGUAGCCAGAGUAAAGGACAGAUGAACAAGAUAAAGGUGGCAUAUAAUGACACUCUUAGAAUCCUGUUAAAGUACCAAAGGUGGGAAAGUGCGAGCAAGAUGCUUAGGAAUUCUAUGUUUACAUUUAUGUGCAGGCCUACUGAGUCUAGGAAUGGCAUUCUAAGGUAUUUGACGGACCCCAACCUAAGUGAGACAAGAUAUUCAUCCAGCCUUUGGAAAUAUUGGAACCAACAUCUGUAUCUAUUUUAACAGUUGAGCACACAUGUGUGCUAUGUGUAAUUUAUUUUUUGUUUGUAUAAUGUGUUUUAUAUUUGGACUUCGAGUCUGUCAAUAAAGAUAAUAAUAAUGUUUCAUAUCAUUAUAAUUGGUCUCUCUACUGGAUAAAUAUUUUCACGUUUCCCCAAAAGUUAGGAUUAGGGUUCUGACAUGCAUGUAAGUAUUUAGUCAAAUCUUUCACUUCCUGAAUUUUGGACAGUUUCAAUCUGUGUAAUCCAUCACAGGGAGUCUACUUUCAACCCACUUGCUGAAGUUCAGUGCCAUACAAAGUGUGUCAAUGAUGACUAAAUGUUACUCAUGUUCAUGUUUGGUCAUGAAAUGUUUUGUUCCCCUUCUGAAGAGUCAAGAUGAAACUUGUACCGAACAAAUAGGAGUUGCAGUGCUUGCAGGUGUCAACUUUAGUGUUGGUGUCAUUAGCAAGCCCAGUAGCCCACCAUUUCAUUCGGGGGCCUAUGAUAACCAAACAUGAUGUGGCGGGUUCAGAUUUUUUUUUGUAUAGUUUUUUUGCCACCGAAAAAAAUAAUAAAAUAAAGCACUGCAUCUAUUUAUGCAGCAUCAGGUGCAUUUCCAGAACACGCUUA